GGGCGUAUAGCUCAAUGGCAGAGCGUCUCUUUGACGUAGAGAAGGUUCAAGGUUCAAAUCCUUGUACGCCCA
rnacentral:tRNA from 1 species